rnacentral:lncRNA from 1 species
AACCUUCCCUUAUUUUGGAAACCCUCCAAAAACAAGAACAAUUACUCACAAAGAGUAAGACAGUUUAGAGCACAAAUAAGUACAAGAAUAGCUCCUUAAAUGAGCGAAUAUAACAUUAAAUACACGUUACUCAAAUGAAGAAGCCCCUUUUGGAUUUCCUCAAGGUGGAUGAAGAGUUGAAUGAACGCUUGAGGAAUAGGUGAGCUUUGAUUGAAGGCUUCUUGAAGGCUUUGAAAGAGCUCUUGAUCAAGGUUGAAAAGUUGGCUUGAAAAACCCUCUCUUUGAAUGCUCUUGAAUGCCCUUUUGAACGCUCUUGCUUUUCUCUUUCAAAAUCUCUCGUAUGUCUCUUGUGUAUAUUGUAGAUCUCUUGUAUCUCUCGUGUAUAUUG